UUUCCGUAGGUGAACCUGCGGAAGGAUCAUUGUCGAAACCUGCGCAGCAGAACGACCCGCGAACGCGUGAACCCCCGGCGCGGAACGCGCCAAGGAAUACCUUCACGAGACCGCCGGCCCCUCGCGCCCCGUUCGCGGAGCGCGCGGGAGGCGCGGGCGUCUUACGUACAACCAAAAACGACUCUCGGCAACGGAUAUCUCGGCUCUCGCAUCGAUGAAGAAUGUAGCGAAAUGCGAUACUUGGUGUGAAUUGCAGAAUCCCGUGAACCAUCGAGUCUUUGAACGCAAGUUGCGCCCGAAGCCUUUGGCCGAGGGCACGUCUGCCUGGGCGUCACGCAUCGCGUCGCCCCCCCACGACUUCGCGUCGUGCGGGGCGGAUGCUGGCCUCCCGUGCCCCCCGCUCGGGGCGCGGCUGGCCCAAAUGCGAGUCCUCGGCGACGGACGUCACGGCGAGUGGUGGUCGUACCCAGCGUGCAUCUCGUCGCGCCGUGCCCCGUCGUCCUCGGAAGAUCGACCCUGUCGAGUCGGCCAGUCCGGCUCUCCGACCGCGACCCCAGGUCAGGCGGGAUUACCCGCUGAGUUUAA
rnacentral:rRNA from 1 species